CAGCCGCCGCGGUAAUACGAAGGGGGCUAGCGUUGCUCGGAAUUACUGGGCGUAAAGGGAGCGUAGGCGGACAUUUAAGUCAGGGGUGAAAUCCCGGGGCUCAACCUCGGAAUUGCCUUUGAUACUGGGUGUCUUGAGUAUGAGAGAGGUAUGUGGAACCCCGAGUGUAGAGGUGAAAUUCGUAGAUAUUCGGAAGAACACCAGUGGCGAAGGCGACAUACUGGCUCAUUACUGACGCUGAGGCUCGAAAGCGUGGGGAGCAAACAGGAUUAGAUACCCCAGUAGUCCCUGUCUCUUAUAC
rnacentral:rRNA from 1 species